rnacentral:lncRNA from 1 species
GCACCAAGUCCUUGCAGGCUGUGAUGGUGCAACAAAAUCACUGGUUGUUUUAGUACAGUACCAUCUAUUUUAUUUUAUUUUACUUUAUCAUAAAAUUCAUACACCGCUUGAUGGUUGGAGAAAAGGGAAAAACGCUCAGAGUGGUUCACAGAAAGAGAAAAAUUAAAUGGAGAAAGAUUCGCGACUUUUAAAAUAUGCAAAAGUUAAACUGAUUAAAAUUUCCUCAACUUUCUAAGCACCUGGGUAGGCAAGAAUGUUUUUAGCAGGUGCUAAAAAGAGUACAGGGAAGGUGCCUUGCUUGAUUUCAAUAGGCAGGGAGUUCCACAGACUCCUUGGAAUCUCAUUUUCCAGAUGUUGCAAUAGGAUAAUUUUUGUGUAGAUUUAAGAACAAGAAGUAUUAGACGCUCAUAUGGACUAAAAUUGGUUUGCAACGUAAUUUCAUGUCUGUUAUAUUAGCCUUUUUGUCUUGCUCGAUGCCACUGGUUUCUUCUUUCCAGUCAUAUCCAUGUACUAUGAAUGGCAUGUAUUUGUAUUUUAAGUACAUUUUUAAUAGAUUGGAUCAGUUAAGGUUUAAUAUUUAUAUGAAAAUAAUACUCAAAGCAGCUUACAAAUAUUUUGAUUUUACAGAUGAAAUGCAUGUUUAAAAAAAUAAUAAUCUAUUGUUGCCAAGAUGAUUCCAGAGUAACAGACGUGGCAGUUCUUACUGAAUUAACCUCUGCUGGUACAAAGUAUGGGUGCUUUUGAGUAACACUGAAUUGCAUCUAUGGAAAAAUUUUUGUUAUUAAGAGCUGUGUAUUCCUCAAAUGUUCAUAAUACUACAUCAGUAUAAAUAGGGCCUCUUUAAAAAUAAAACACGCUUGCCUAUCUUUAUUCACCCACGUAUGUUUCCUCUAUGAAGUGGGAGUGUCUGAAGUGGUACCAAAACAAGAUUUGUUUCUUUUUAAAAAACACUUUAUGGAAAAUAUUUGUUUUUCCUAAUACUGUACAUACUGAAGAAGGUAAAGAGAAAAAGGCAAAAUAAAUCAGACCACUGCAUAGCUGUAGAAAAGCAAGAGAAACAAAUUACACCCAGUUUGAAAUCCUACAUCAGAAAUCACAUCCUAAUGUUAUAAAUAAUAUAAACCUGCCUUACUUCUGGUUAUUUAAUAACGAAAUAUAGAAAAGGCAUUGACAGCAAUUUCUUCAGAAAAUGAAGUAUUGGACCCUGGUUUAAAAUAGAUGCUGGUAAUAAAGUAGUAAUAAAAUAAAUUCAUUUUACUCAGUCCCUUUUGGCGAAACCAUCAUGAGAGCAAAAAGAAGUCUUCUUCUUAAAGCAACAACACCCUAAGACUGAAAGAAAGCAUGGAUUUGAGAGAUGCCUUAAAUAUUUAACACAAGCACAUAUGUAAAGCCUGGAGGCUUUAUGUACUCCCAAGUAACACUCGGCAUCUGAAAUAACAUUUUAGGCAGACUUAUCCACAGUAAAAAAUAUAUACCGUAUUUUUCGCUCUAUAACACGCACCCAACCAUAACACGCACGUAGUUUUUAGAGGAGGAAAAUCCGUAGGCAUGCCACCCACACGCAUUCCCUCCAUAACACGCACAGACAUUUCCCCUUACUUUCUAGGAGGAAAAAAGUGAGUGUUAUGGUGCAAAAAAUACGGUAGAUGGAAAUGUGUGCAAAACAAGCUAGGGAGGAUGGCUGAGAAGUCCGACUGGAACAGAAACAAUGCAAGAAUGCAAGGUCCAUGAAUAAGAGAAAUUAUCAGGUUAGUUGUUCUCAAUCCCCCCCCACCCCCGCAUGGGCCACUUGAAAACUGGUGAGACAGAUCACUUAAGCAACGAUUCUGCCUGCUGCAGCAAUCAUACUGUGCUGUGCUAAGUGCUGCAUGGUUUUUAACUGUAUUUUUAUUGCUCCUUUUAUUUCUUAUAUAAUGUAUUUUAAAUACAGUGGUACCUCGGGUUAAGUACUUAAUUCGUUCCGGGGGUUCGUACUUAACCUGAAACUGUACUUAACCUGAAGCACCACUUUAGCUAACGGGGCCUCCUGCUGCUGCUGCCGCGCCGCCAGAGCACCAUUUCUGUUCUCAUCCUGAAGCAAAGUUCUUAACCUGAAGCACUAUUUCUAGUUUAGCGGAGUUUGUAACCUGAAGCGUAUGUAACCCGAGGUACCACUGUACACCCUGUGGAAGAUAUACAAGAAACGAAAGAAGCAGUAGCACAUUGGAUUAAAAACCAAGAUGGAUCUUUAAUGUGUCAUCUGUCUUCUUCAACCACAAAUCCGCAGACACUCCCUGGACAACUGGAAUGAAGCUCAUGGAUCAGAGUUUGGCAACCCACUGGCUGACAGGUUCAGCAGGAUCUGCAAUGGCAACACCUUGCAACAGCUGUUUUGGCAACCCUUCUUAAACAGGAAAUUGUACCACUGACAGAUCCUCUUCUCGCCAGACAACCUUGCCAAGAUAGGUCACCAGUAGCUAUGUGACCAGUUUCUCAGACAACUAUGUUUGGAUGAACUCUGGGCCUAGGGAAGUUAUUAGUUGUGAACCCCAGCAGGUAAAU